GAUGAACGCUGGCGGCAUGCCUUACACAUGCAAGUCGAACGGUAACGCGGGGCAACCUGGCGACGAGUGGCGAACGGGUGAGUAAUAUAUCGGAACGUGCCCAGUAGUGGGGGAUAGCCCGGCGAAAGCCGGAUUAAUACCGCAUACGACCUAAGGGUGAAAGCGGGGGAUCGCAAGACCUCGCGCUAUUGGAGCGGCCGAUAUCAGAUUAGGUAGUUGGUGGGGUAAAGGCCUACCAAGCCGACGAUCUGUAGCUGGUCUGAGAGGACGACCAGCCACACUGGGACUGAGACACGGCCCAGACUCCUACGGGAGGCAGCAGUGGGGAAUUUUGGACAAUGGGCGCAAGCCUGAUCCAGCCAUGCCGCGUGCGGGAAGAAGGCCUUCGGGUUGUAAACCGCUUUUGUCAGGGAAGAAAUCUUCUGGGUUAAUACCUCGGGAGGAUGACGGUACCUGAAGAAUAAGCACCGGCUAACUACGUG
rnacentral:rRNA from 1 species